rnacentral:rRNA from 1 species
AGUGAACGCUGGCGGUAGGCCUAACACAUGCAAGUCGAACGGCAGCACAGUAAGCGCUUGCUCUUACGGGUGGCGAGUGGCGGACGGGUGAGGAAUACAUCGGAAUCUACUUUUUCGUGGGGGAUAACGUAGGGAAACUUACGCUAAUACCGCAUACGACCUACGGGUGAAAGCAGGGGAUCUUCGCACCUUGCGCGAUUGAAUGAGCCGAUGUCGCAUUAGCUAGUUGGCGGGGUAAAGGCCCACCAAGGCAACGAUCCGUAGCUGGUCUGAGAGGAUGAUCAGCCACACUGGAACUGAGACACGGUCCAGACUCCUACGGGAGGCAGCAGUGGGGAAUAUUGGGCAAUGGGCGCAAGCCUGAUCCAGCCAUACCGCGUGAGUGAAGAAGGCCUUCGGGUUGUAAAGCCCUUUUGUUAGGAAAGAAAAGCAGCAGGUUAAUACCCCGCUGUUCUGACGGUACCCAAAGAAUAAGCACCGGCUAACUUCGUG